rnacentral:rRNA from 1 species
UACGUAGGGUGCGAGCGUUAAUCGGAAUUACUGGGCGUAAAGCGUGCGCAGGCGGUUCGCCAAGUCAGGUGUGAAAUCCCCGGGCUUAACCUGGGAACUGCGUCUGAUACUGGAAGGCUUGAGUGCGGGAGAGGGAUGUGGAAUUCCAGGUGUAGCGGUGAAAUGCGUAGAUAUCUGGAGGAACACCGGUGGCGAAGGCGGCAUCCUGGACCGACACUGACGCUGAGGCGCGAAAGCUAGGGUAGCAAACGGG